GAUGAACGCUGGCGGCGUGCCUAAUACAUGCAAGUCGAGCGAACGGACGAGAAGUUUGCUUCUCUGAUGUUAGCGGCGGACGGGUGAGUAACACGUGGAUAACCUACCUAUAAGACUGGGAUAACUUCGGGAAACCGUAGCUAAUACCGGAUAAUAUUUUGAACCGCAUGGUUCAAAAGUGAAAGACGGUCUUGCUGUCACUUAUAGAUGGAUCCGCGCUGCAUUAGCUAGUUGGUAAGGUAACGGCUUACCAAGGCAACGAUGCAUAGCCGACCUGAGAGGGUGAUCGGCCACACUGGAACUGAGACACGGUCCAGACUCCUACGGGAGGCAGCAGUAGGGAAUCUUCCGCAAUGGGCGAAAGCCUGACGGAGCAACGCCGCGUGAGUGAUGAAGGUCUUCGGAUCGUAAAACUCUGUUAUUAGGGAAGAACAUAUGUGUAAGUAACUGUGCACAUCUUGACGGUACCUAAUCAGAAAGCCGCGGCUAACUACGUGCCAGCAGCCGCGGUAAUACGUAGGUGGCAAGCGUUAUCCGGAAUUAUUGGGCGUAAAGCGCGCGUAGGCGGUUUUUUAAGUCUGAUGUGAAAGCCCACGGCUCAACCGUGGAGGGUCAUUGGAAACUGGAAAACUUGAGUGCAGGAGAGGAAAGUGGAAUUCCAUGUGUAGCGGUGAAAUGCGCAGAGAUAUGGAGGAACACCAGUGGCGAAGGCGACUUUCUGGUCUGUAACUGACGCUGAUGUGCGAAAGCGUGGGGAUCAAACAGGAUUAGAUACCCUGGUAGUCCACGCCGUAAACGAUGAGUGCUAAGUGUUAGGGGGUUUCCGCCCCUUAGUGCUGCAGCUAACGCAUUAAGCACUCCGCCUGGGGAGUACGACCGCAAGGUUGAAACUCAAAGGAAUUGACGGGGACCCGCACAAGCGGUGGAGCAUGUGGUUUAAUUCGAAGCAACGCGAAGAACCUUACCAAAUCUUGACAUCCUUUGACAACUCUAGAGAUAGAGCCUUCCCCUUCGGGGGACAAAGUGACAGGUGGUGCAUGGUUGUCGUCAGCUCGUGUCGUGAGAUGUUGGGUUAAGUCCCGCAACGAGCGCAACCCUUAAGCUUGGUUGCCAUCAUUAAGUUGGGCACUCUAAGUUGACUGCCGGUGACAAACCGGAGGAAGGUGGGGAUGACGUCAAAUCAUCAUGCCCCUUAUGAUUUGGGCUACACACGUGCUACAAUGGACAAUACAAAGGGCAGCGAAACCGCGAGGUCAAGCAAAUCCCAUAAAGUUGUUCUCAGUUCGGAUUGUAGUCUGCAACUCGACUACAUGAAGCUGGAAUCGCUAGUAAUCGUAGAUCAGCAUGCUACGGUGAAUACGUUCCCGGGUCU
rnacentral:rRNA from 1 species